GCUGUGCUCCCUGUAGUCCCAGCUACUUGGGAGGCUGAGGCAGGAGGAUCUCUGGAGCCCAGGGGUUUGAGGCCAGCCUGGGCAACAUAGCAAGACUCUGUCCCAA
rnacentral:sRNA from 1 species